GGCCCGGCCCAAUGAAUGACGGCCCAAAUGGAAACCUUCCGCCCCUUGUGGACAGACUGCGCACAUGGAUGGCGGCGGGCGGCGCCUCCGCCCCUCGCUUGGCGUGGGGUUGGGACGGAACGAGGACGGCGGCGCGCGAUCAGCACCGGCAGAGGCGGCGGUCUUCAAUUGGGGAAGCGUUUUACUGCCAAUGUGACGGUCGGUGUGGAGCUAACAGAGACAAAUUCUGUGUGGUGCAUAUGCCUCUGCACGUCUUAACCUUGCUGCAAAGCCAAAUUUGGAUGGAAGAGGCGCGGCACAAUCAAAUUCGGAGGAAGUUAAGAUAGAUUCAGACAGUGCACAAUUGGGGAUGCCAAAUUAUUUUUGUGAUUAGCGCAGCUAAGGUACACUAUAAAACACACUCAGACAAAUGUAGUACUAGUAGUUAACUGGUAUGGUAGAAAUGUAGUUUCUGGCUACUAUCAAUAUCUAGCAUUAAAUCUAGAUUCAUUUGGUUGCUGACUAUGGACUCUAUGUUAAGUUGCUGUUAUGGAACAGGACUAUGUAAUAUAUGAAUUUCAGCACUGAAUUGACAUUGAAGGCCCCUCUUCAAUGCUUCUAGAACAUUGUUACAUGCAUUACACUACUAGUCGACUACAUGUUGGUACUAAGUUUAUUACUAACUGGAUCUACCCUCAUUUCUAAUUCCAUUUUGUAAUUUCUAUAUGCACUUCAUGGUUCAAUUUGUCAUGCAAACUAUUUCUUAAUAUUUUGUGGGCCUAGAUCUAAGAAUCUGCACUCCAUGGUUCUAUUAGCAUGUUCAAGAGGUAAGGCAUAACAUUUAACUAGGGUUAGAUUCUUUGGUUUUGGUCUACCUCUCAGUAUAUUGUAGAGUUUUUAUUAGUCACUCCGAAUCAUUUCGGGAUGAACCCCAUUCAGAUGUUAAUUUUGUUGUUUUGGUAUAAAAAAUUAAGAUUGUUGAUUCUAAUGUAGAAUAUUAGAUUGUACAAAAAUAGUGCACUUCUCAAAACAUCUCACUGAAAUGUCCUUUGCUUAUGACUUAUGAGAUAACUGGUCCAGUUUGAUUUUAUGUUUGGGUGAUCCUGUUUACAUUUGUUCAGUAAAAUGCAUUGCUUGAUAUUUAUCAAGCACUUGCAAUAAGUGUGUUGAUCUUUGUGUGACAUGCUUGUUCCUGUUAAAAUUCAUGCUAAUGCAAGAGUGUUCACUGCUAAAGUGGUGAUUGUGGUGGAGCCAACAGAAACAAAAGUUAUAUGUGGCGCAGAUGCAUCUGCAUGUCUUGCCAGUGCUACAAGGAUCGAUGCUUGGUUAUUAUCAUCUUAUGAAUGAGGAACUACCAGCUUUGAGGGACAUUUGGCUGUACAUGAACAUCAAAGCCAGUUUCAUAUGACCUUGAGUUCCUGUGUCUUCAAUAUCUUCAAAAAUCAAUUGGAUCAGAUAUUGAGUCCAGUCUAAUUUUCGUGUGACAAUGAUCCAUUUAGAUGUUGCCUGUUCAGCAAGUUCGCAAUAGGUAACUUUAAUGUAGAGGAAAUUCAUUUUUGGGGAAAUUCUAUGUAGCCAAAUUUGGAUGGAAAAGGCGCUGCACUACCAAGUUUGUAGAAAAUUAGGAUAGAUCUUGUCAAUGUAGGAUUGGGGGUGCUAAAUUGUUUCCAGUUUAGUGCACGCAAGGUACACAAUAAAGCACACUCAGACAAAUGUAUUAGUUAACUGUAUGGCAGAAUUAUAGUUUGUAGGCAGUACCAAUAUGUAGCGUUAAAAUUUAGUUUCACUUGGUUGCUGACUAUGGAGUAUGGACUCUAUGGUAAGUUACUAAUACUAAUACUAAUACUAAUUCUUGUUUCUAUAUGACUUUCACCCCAAAAGAAUUUUGUAAUGCAUAUUUUUCAAAAUAAAAUGGCAGAAUAGCCAUUUUGGUCCCUCAACUAUUACUCGAGGCUCAACUUCGCCCAACUUUCAAAACGCCCAUUUUGAUCAUAUCAUCUUGCUCUGCCCUUUCGCUGCGAGGUCUGAAGCCGCAUUGGUCAAACCUCCAUCCAGAUCACUUCUGCAGAUGAACUGUGGACUCCUGGACUUCCUCCAUUCCUGGAAACAGCCCAGCUGCAGUGAAUUCCACCCUUGUUCUCUUUCAGAAGGGUGCAGCUGAGUCUUCAGAGAAUUCUUCAAAACUGCAGUGCCACUGCAAGAUCUUGGAGCUCGAAAUGUGGACUUGGUGGCCUAGGAGUCAUCGCAGAAGUUACCUUUAAUGUGUAGAAAGACACCAGCUUGUGUAGCAUGCAUUCGUUUCCAAUGCAGAUGAAAUCAAGAAUAAACACAAGAAGCAGCUCUCCGAAAACAAAUGUAUUAAGUACUUGUGGAUUCCAUAUACUGACACAGUUGUGGUCCAAUGGAAUCCUCCCUCAAAGUGGAGAACCCCAAUACUGACAUCAAAAUAUGGCAAGGAUGAAGCUUUACAGCAUGUUGGGAUCUUUAUUGUGACUCACUGAAAAAAUAUAGUCUUGUAGAUUUCAUGAAAAAACUAAUGACCCUGGUGCAACAAAGGGAAAUACAAAGGAGCUACCUCCUGAAUGCACGGAACCAACGCCACUAUGAUAGUGUCAUCCCACGACCACUGGUGCUAAUUCGGUUGAUCCCACAUUAGCACACGAGAAAAAUUGGGGAAGCCAACAAAACUCAUGGUUUUGAGUUGAGAACAUACAUGUGUAAUCGUUAUGAAUGGUUACAAAUCGAAAUAUUAUGAACAAAACCUGAUGGGAAAAAACACCAUAAGCUGAAUUGUUUCCUUGCAGCAACAUUGCUACAUGAUAGCCUCUAUGUCUGACCGUUUUCUGGCAACAGAAAAAACACCACAUGCAUGCAAGCAGUUGCGGUUCAGAGGAAAAGGUGGCUGAAACCUGAUGGGAUCCUUAAACUGAACACGGAUGGGGCUUUCUCUAAGCGAGACAAGACUAGAGACAGGGAGUUCGUUAUUAGGAAUGAAGGCCAAGUGCUGAAAGCUGGUGCCGGCUGUGAAGAUCUCCAGAAUGCUUUUCAUGGUAAACUGUUGGGUUUGCUAUCACGUCUAAUAAUUGAAACUGAUGCGUUCCGCAAUGGGAGGAAUCGUCAGAGUGAAGCAUUAUAUUUGCUGUGUUCUGUCCUCGUAUUUGUAAUCGAGCUGCGAUUGGGUGUAAAUCUCCUAGUGAGUCUGCAAUCACUCGGCAGGUAGUUCCACAGGAUGUUAGGGUUUAGGGUUUAGGGUUUGUAAAUUAUAGUAAAUAUGUCCGUGCAUUGCAACGAGAGAAGGAACUUAUUCUUUUUAAAUUCAUUAUUAUGUAAACCACUUUAGUUAUUAGAAUACAACCAUAAUUUUGUAAAUUAA